AUGCCAUACUUGGCAGCACAUAUACUAAAACUGGAACCUUACAGAGAAAAUUAGCAUGGUUCCUAUGCAAGGAUGACAUACAAAUUCAUGAAGCAUUCAAAACAAAC
ensembl:snRNA U6 U6 spliceosomal RNA